CAAGAUGAAGUCUAUUGUUCUGUUAGCGAUUCUGGGAGCUGCAGUGGCCAAACCCACUCAGAGAAUUGUUAAUGGAGAAGAAGCAACACCAAAUGAAUUUCCCCAUAUUGCUUCACUCCAGGUCGCUUUCUUAGGAUUUUUGUGGAGUCAUAGUUGUGGUGGAAUCCUAAUAUCACAAAACUAUGUUCUAACAGCUGCACAUUGUGUUGACGGCCAAUCAGCCAGUAACCUUAGAGUAGAACUUGGUAAACAUAACCUGGAUACCACUGAACCAAAUCAGCAACGUAUUAGUAUUGCCCAAAUUAUAAUGAAUCCUGGAUAUGACUCAAACGCUGCUGGCUACCCUAAUGACAUUGCUGUACUUAGAUUGUCCAGUCCUGCCAACUUACUUACUGGAUUUGUAGAAACAAUUGAACUGUCCCCAGACGAUAGUUAUGAUGGAGUAUCUGUUAUUUUGGCCGGUUGGGGUAAAUUAAGAGGAUCAGACAGUGGUAUAUCCAGGUUAUUACAGAAAGUCAGUAUGCCUGUUAUAUCACAAUCAGCUUGUACUAGUGAAUGGUCGGGUGUAUCCGGAGCAGCAGUUCUUGAAACACACAUCUGUGUUUUUGAUCCAAGCUUUGGAACAAGCGCUUGCAACGGAGACAGUGGAGGACCCAUGUAUUGUCCUAAUGGAAAUGGUGGUAUUAAUGUAUGUGGUGUUACAUCAUGGGGAGAAAGUGGGUGUGGUGGAACCAGACCAAGUGUCUAUGGAAGGGUGUCCAAAUUUUUGAACUGGAUUAGAGCAA